rnacentral:rRNA from 1 species
AUGAACGCUAGCGGCAGGCUUAACACAUGCAAGUCGAGGGGCAGCAUGAGACGGAGAUUCGUCAAAGUCUUGAUGGCGACCGGCGCACGGGUGCGUAACAGGUGUGCAAUCUGUCCAUAAUCGGGGAAUAGCCCAGCGAAAGUUGGAUUAAUGCUCCAUGUGAGUUUUAGAGGCAUCUCUUUAAUUUGAAACGUAAGGAUUAUGGGUGAGCACGCUUCUGAUUAGGUAGUUGGUGAGGUAACGGCUCACCAAGCCGACGAUCAGUAGGGGUUCUGAGAGGAAGGUCCCCCACAUUGGAACUGAGACACGGUCCAAACUCCUACGGGAGGCAGCAGUGAGGAAUAUUGGUCAAUGGGCGAAAGCCUGAACCAGCCAAGUCGCGUGAAGGAUGAAGGUUCUAUGGAUUGUAAACUUCUUUUGUCUGAGGGUAAAAAAGCGGACGUGUCCGUUCUUGCAAGUAUCAGACGAAUAAGCAUCGGCUAACUCCGUG